GUCUGGUGGGUAGUUUGACUGGGGCGGUCUCCUCCUAAAGAGUAACGGAGGAGCACGAAGGUUGGCUAAGCAUGGUCGGACAUCAUGCGGUUAGUGCAAGGCAUAAGCCAGCUUGACUGUGAGAGUGACGGCUCGAGCAGGUACGAAGUAGGUCUUAGUGAUCCGGUGGUUCUGAAUGGAAGGGCCAUCGCUCAACGGAUAAAAGGUACUCCGGGGAUAACAGGCUGAUACCGCCCAAGAGUUCAUAUCGACGGCGGUGUUUGGCACCUCGAUGUCGGCUCAUCACAUCCUGGGGCUGAAGUAGGUCCCAAGGGUAUGGCUGUUCGCCAUUUAAAGUGGUACGCGAGCUGGGUUUAGAACG
rnacentral:rRNA from 1 species